GCUUGCCCCUAGUGCCUGGAGACCUUCCUGAACCAGCCAAAGCCGCGACUGAACCAGACCCUGAGCAGCCUGCUGUCGCGGCUGGGGGGGACCAGGUACCACUCGGGGUCUGUACCGCAGUACUGUGUCCUACACCGGGAGCGCAUUAAGCUGUUCUGUGAGACCAACAGCAAGCUGAUCUGUGUGGUGUGUCGAGAGGAGCAGGCACACAGAGACCAUCAGUGCAGGCCUAUCAACAUCCGCAAGGUAACGUUCUCCCUUUUCGGAACAGGAGGGAGCCAUUUGGCCCCACUCCCACAGUCUGUUCCGCCACCAAAUGGACGAUCUGUCACUAGCUGUGAUGCCUCUGGCCCCUAUCCUUCUGUUUAACAACAACUUAUCGUGCUGUUUGUCUGUCAAUGCUGCCUGGCCCUCUGUGAUUCCCAGUUUGUCUCUCAGUAUCUUCAGUACUCAGCUCCAACUAUCUAUCCAUCUCCGAUUUAAAAUGAACAACUGUUCCACAAUCUGCUGCCGUUUCGUUAGGAUCAGCUGAAAUCAGAGUUGGAGUAUCUGACAGAGAAGGUUGAGCACAAACACAAACCCGGCGUUAUCGCAGUGAAGGAGCAGGCAGGUCUCCUGCUGAAACACAUCACCUCGGAGUUUGAACAAAUCCGGAAAGUUCUGGACAAGAAAGAGAAAGACUUAACCCGAGCUCUUGAAAGAGAAGGAAGAAAGUAUCCUACGCACGAUUGAGGGGAAUCUCGAACAGAUUUGGUGCGAUCUCGACUCAGUACAGCUGGAGGUGUUGGAGCUGAGCAGGGAGGCUGAAGGAGAAGGAUGAUCUCGCUUUUCUGAAGGUGAUGUCCUGUGAUCCGAGUACAUUAACCCAGCCUCGGGGCUUGCAAACAGCAGUUCGCAAGUUUGCAAGCAUUUCUGAAGACGGGUCUAGGCCCGAAACGUCAGCCUUCUUGCUCCUCUGAUGCUGCUUGGCCUGCUGUGUUCAUCCAGCUCUACACCUUGUUAGCCCAGGGUCCUGUGUGCUUUUCCAUGUGAGCCCCUGCCCUCAGACAGACCCUUGCUGUACAAUCCCGAGUGCACUGGGGAAUUUAUACAGGGAUGCUGCUUGUGUUAAGGGGCACUGUUGGCUGUGUCCUGAUGCAAUGGGAGACGUAGUGUCAAAACUGAUUACGUUUUUCUAACCCCACAGGGUGAGUGUGGCCAAAGGGACAGGUAGGGCUGUGUCUUUACAAUAAACCCAUCUCCUACCA